rnacentral:rRNA from 1 species
CCCUUAGAUGUUCUGGGCCGCACGCGCGCUACACUGAUGCACUCAACAAGCACAGCCUUGACCGAGAGGUCUGGGUAAUCUUGGAAAUUGCAUCGUGAUGGGGCUAGAUUAUUGCAAUUAUUAAUCUUCAACGAGGAAUGCCUAGUAAGCGUGAUUCAUCAAAUCGCGUUGAUUACGUCCCUGCCCUUUGUACACACCGCCCGUCGCUCCUACCGAUUGAAUGAGUUGGUGAGGAGUUUGGAUUGGCAACUGGAAGUGGUUCUCCACUGCCUAUUGCUGAGAAGUUCUCCAAACCGCCCCAUUUAGAGGAAGGAGAAGUCGUAACA